rnacentral:tRNA from 1 species
CAGGAAGUAGUUUAAAUUAGAAUUUUGGUUUUGGGGGCCAAUGGUGGUGGUUAAAAUCCACCCUGUUUGA